UUAAAUUGAAGAGUUUGAUCAUGGCUCAGAUUGAACGCUGGCGGCAGGCCUAACACAUGCAAGUCGAACGGUAACAGGAAACAGCUUGCUGUUUCGCUGACGAGUGGCGGACGGGUGAGUAAU
rnacentral:rRNA from 2 species